CACUCGCAAUCACUCGCAAUGGCGAUACCAUCUCCAGUAGCCCUUGACGGCUCGCGCACUCGCGAUGGCGAUACCAUUUACCAGUAGCCCUUGACAGCUCACGUGCUCGUGAUGGUAGUACCUCGCGGCUGUUGACGGUGGUCGCUUGCCAACGCUUAACCACACUGCUCGCUUUCGACGCUAGUUCGCGGAUCGGUAUCAUCCUAAUGGGAUAACGAAUGUUCGAUGUCUCAUUAUGCUAAGCACCAAUGAAUCGUAAUAGAUGAAUCGGAACUUGUGGGUGUUAAACAUCUCGAAAACCUGAUCAUAUACAUAAGUGCCAGUACUUCAACGGAACAAAAUGGGCAUUUGUAACCUCUACGAAACAUAACAACCUCUUCGAUGAGCCAUGUGUUAUAAUUCUCUUGACUUCAAAACCAAAGAGGACAGUUGCGGUUCCACCCCGACAGAAUUGCAACGACAUACAAUUCCAAGCAACACUCGCCAAGUGCUAAAGACGAUGUCAACAUGAAAACAGGUUGGAGCUGGGAGGGGAGGACGCGUCCCAAUUUCGAGACGAAUUUCGCCCCUCUUGAGACGCACCUUGGCCAGGCUUCGUAUAAAGAUUUAUAGGUUAGCCGGCCGGAAAAGAAUUAAGGGGCUACCAGAGAAAGAGAGAAGAACGGUCACCGCGACACGACCCACGACAUUCCUGCUUUAUUUCCCUCCACUUGCCAGAGAGACUGCAUGCUGAUCUAACCAUGGAGAUAAAAGAAUGGAAAAAGGCAGUUUUCUCGCUACCCCUCCCUUCCCGUCGCGCAGGCUUCCCCCUAGUCUAAGAUGGGAUUUUGGGCUCCAUCCAUGUAUUCAUACGUCACAUCUUUUCUACGGCCACGUGGCGUACAGCAACGGACAUUAUUGCCUCCCACCAGAUGGUGCCCCAGUGCACGGCAGAGUCAUUAACGUCCGCCACUGUACAAAUAAAUCGAACCGCAUUCAGUUGAAUAUCGAUCAUCGCAUAAUGGUUUAUUAUUGUGUGCACAUACAGUCGCUCUAUGAAAAUACUUUGGCAACCCCUUAAUCGUGUGAGCACGCUUAAAAUCCACUUAGACAUAAGGUACUCGUAUUUACACACGAAGCUGUCUCUCCUCUUUAUAUCGUCUAUACAAUCAUGUAAAUGUAAUAUUCAAUAAUAAAAAUGUAACGCAA